UCCAGCUGUAGGCAACAGUCUAGGUUUCAUUGUACCUAGGCAAAUGUUGCACUGCUGGGAGAAAAGCAGGUAAUAGCUGGCGGGCAUCCUGGGCCUGGUUAAUGCCAAAUU
rnacentral:snoRNA from 1 species